rnacentral:rRNA from 1 species
CGCGUAGGCGGAAUGGUAAGUCAGAGGUGAAAUUCUUGCGCUUAACGCAGGAACUGCCUUUGAUACUGCUAUUCUUGAGUAUGGAAGAGGGAAGUGGAAUUCCCGGUGUAGCGGUGAAAUGCGUAGAUAUCGGGAAGAACACCGGUAGCGUAAGCGGCUUCCUGGUCCAUUACUGACGCUGAGGCGCGAAAGUGUGGGGAGCAAACAGGAUUAGAUACCCUGGUAGUCCACACUGUAAACGAUGGGCACUAGAUGUUGGACCGCAAGGUUCAGUGUCGUAGCUAACGCAUUAAGUGCCCCGCCUGGGAAGUACGGCCGCAAGGUUGAA